rnacentral:rRNA from 1 species
UACGGAGGGUGCAAGCGUUAAUCGGAAUUACUGGGCGUAAAGAGUGCGUAGGCGGUUAGGUAAGUUAUCUGUGAAAUCCCCGGGCUCAACCUGGGAACUGCGUUUGAAACUACAAGACUAGAGUGUAGCAGAGGGGGGUGGAAUUCCACGUGUAGCAGUGAAAUGCGUAGAGAUGUGGAGGAACACCGAUGGCGAAGGCAGCCCCCUGGGUUAACACUGACGCUCAGGCACGAAAGCAUGGGGAGCAAACAGG